rnacentral:rRNA from 1 species
CUUGACAUGUCCUGGAGCCUGGUGAAAGCCGGGUGUGCCCGAAAGGGAACGGGAACACAGGUGCUGCAUGGCUGUCGUCAGCUCGUGUCGUGAGAUGUUGGGUUAAGUCCCGCAAUGAGCGCAACCCUUGUCAUUAGUUGCUACAUUCAGUUGGGCACUCUAAUGAGACUGCCGGUGACAAACCGGAGGAAGGUGGGGAUGACGUCAAGUCCUCAUGGCCCUUAUGGGUAG